rnacentral:misc_RNA from 1 species
AUUAUUAUUAUUAUUAUUAAAAUAGACAUUCAUAUCACUGAUUAGUAAGUAGAGGUUUCAUACUACGGAUGUGCUAAAAAAUUUGAGGUAUUUGGCCAAGGAAUGUAUAUUAAGAUAUGUUGCGUGUGUGUAUAUAUGCGUGUGCAGUAGUAUAAAUUGGACCAUAAGCAACAAUGAGUGCCCAAUAUAAUUGCUUAAGAUCUGUCAUAAUGACAAAAUUUGUGAGACUAUGCAGUUCCCUCUUUCUUUUGAUUUCUGCAAGUGUGUGCUGAUCAGUGAUCUGUUGGAGGAUAGCAUAUCAGAUCAAAUGUCACUGUAAAUAUUUCCCUUUUAACCAAACAUUUUGUUAACAAUAUCCUUAGAGAUUUAGACUUUGAAAUGAUGAUAUGUUGAUUCAAGAAUGCAUGCCACUGUAAAGUUGGUGUGUCAAAUUCUUGUAUGCAGGGUUUGAGAUGCUUAGAGUGUUAAAUUAUAGAACAUGAAGUGAAAGUAUCUAAUUCUGAAUCAUGCAAGUUCUUGAGUUGACAAAGCAUAACAUAAUUUAUGGUGCAUUAGUGCUUUGCUGUAUCAUUAUGGUGCUUAAAUAAAGUGCUUGUAGUUGGCUUUGAAGAUAUCAUAACACAAGCUUCCAAAACUAUCAGUCACCAUUUGGCAACCAAAGCAGAAAGGUAGGUUAUAAGCUUUGGUUUGUUUAGUUGCUGCAAACAAAUAUCAAGAGCAUAUUUUGUUGAUAAUAAGACACAUACAGUGCAAAAAGCAACUGAGAACUAAACUAUAUAUCCAGACUUGCUAUGUUAAUAAAUAUUUGUGUCACUGAGAAGGCAUUCAAAUAUAGAACUUUUCCAUGUUGAAGUAAGGUCCAGUGUACACUUUGCACAAGGAUAGUUCUUCCUUGAAUAAGAUCUGCUGGGAAUUGACAAACCAGCAACUGCAGUUGAAUCUCAUGGUAUUUUGGUGAGGAACAUCAAAUUGGUGUGGUAACAAUGAAAUUACUAUUAUUUACAAAUUAAGCACGUUCUGGGCAGAAUUCAUUUUCUCCAUUUGUACACUAUAAAUUUGACUGGAAUAAAUAAUCCCUUCCUGCAAAUUGUUAGAUUUAUCUUGACGACCCUAGGCUUGUAGCUUUUCAUCAUAGGCAAUACCUUAAGAAUUCAGAAUCCUUCUCAUGUAGUAAAGAUGUUCUGUUUGGCCAUAUUCUGUGAAAAUAAUGUUGUACUGCUCUCUGCACAAUACGAGCAAAAUUCUUGUUUUUAUGAUGCUUCAUAAUUAUUCUUUAUCUUCUUUUAUGAUUUUUUGACCAAUUUGUCAAUCAAGCGUCCAUCAGUUUAAGCAUCUGUCCAGCAUUAUGAAAUGCUAUAUGGAUCUUGAUUGGCCAACUGAAGUUGUUGUAUCCAGUGUGUGUGAAUAGCUUACCGAUUAUUUUUGCCUUUUCUCCACUUUUUGAGUGAUCAAAAUUCCUGGACUAGUAAAUUCAACUUUCUUAUAAGCAGGUUUUUUUUUUUGGGUUGAAGUGUAAUUUCUCCCCAAUUAGAGACUUCAUUUGGAACCUGCUGAGACAUCAGUAGUGAAUUGUUACCUGGUCCAUGAGUCGGAAUGCUGUAGGAACUUAAUAACCUGCAGUUAUCAAAUUGUACACAAGUUGCACACUUCUCAAACAAGAUGAUUCAGAACCAGUUGUCCAUUUCCUAUUCUCUAUGCUAAUAUCGCUGAUUCAACCAAGCGAUUUCAAGUUGUAACUUUUUUUUCUCUCCUUUGGUUGCUUAUUUUGUGACCUUGAAUGAAACACUGUAGUAACCGCAUAUUCCUUCCCUCCAAUCCUCAACAUGCUGAACAGCUAGGGUUAUGCUCCAGAAGUGGGUCAUCUGUUUGAGGGGCAGGAAAGGGCUAAUUUCCAAUUAUAUUUUGUGCAUUGAUCAAGGGAUGUUCGAGGAAUCAUUUAUCUUCAAAAGCUAUCCAAAAGUUAAACUAAUUUUAUCAUGCAUCUGCUUACAGGCUUUCAAUAUGCUUAAGGAAGAGAAAUAGAACCUGUGUUACACUGUUCAAAAACAUAAUGCCAUCAACUGUGACUUAAAGAUAGUCGACUUGAAGGCAUAUAACUUGAAAAAGAAUUCACUACUUGUGAAGUUAAGCUGCGCUCAUGCUUGCCUGUUCUAGCAUAGAAAAGCUCCCUACGACUGUGCAGCGGGGCUGCAUAUCUUCUUGUGCCCUUGAUCAGGGCCAAUUCAGUUGUUCCCAAUCCCAUAGUGGUUGUACAAAACCAUUAACCGUAUCCCAGUUGGCACUUCCUUCUGUCCCUGGGGCAUCAGCAUGAUCUCCUCUUGAGUAUGAAGUCUCAGGUGAGCUUGUGUUGUCCACCAUUCUAGUGUCUUGAGCAGCUGCUGUAGCAGCAUCACCUAGAAGCUGAGUGUCUCUUGCUGUAGCGUCUCUUGCUGUAGCUUCUAGUGGACGUCUGUCAAAUGCUCGAAAACUCCCUGAUAUUACAUAGACUCGGCACAAACUGAAUUCAUGUCUCAACUACACGUAAGAAAUGGUGGAAAACAAAUGAUGAUUAGAAUUGGAAAAUAAUAGAAAACUGCAUGACUAGCUCUUUUUCUGUUAAAAUGUUUUAUAUAACUGUGUGUAUACCUUAGGAACAGCUGUGCUGGAUGAGUCUGCCACUCCUUCUAUGGCUCUAUACUCAUUCAUUUUCCAUUUGGUUUUUCUUCCUGUAGGAGCUUUCCCCUUAUAGAAGACCAUGGUUUUCUUCAGUCCAAUCACUCGGUUAUCGGACGAGUAAACAUAGCCAGGGGAGCCAGUGGCCUUCCAGUACCCAGAUGCUGUAGUGCGGCUGGGUCUCCCUCCUCUAGCUUCUCUUUCUUGUCUUGGUGCGAAGAAGAACCAUUGCUCAGUGUCUCCUUGACACCGUUCUCCUGCAAGCACUGCAUCACAUUGCAAGAAACAAACUUUAAAGUGCUAUUCAGCUUCUACGUGGUGCAUUUUUCAACACACCAUUAACUUCAUGAACAUAAAACAAACAAGUUUGAUUGAGAAGAAUUCCGUACUUGGGAGAUUGCAUGGCUCUAUGUUGUAAAUGUCGAUUACUGGGAUAACACGGUGUAUUUCCUGUCUCUUCCCUUCCAGCUUGUUAUGCAGAUAGAAGGAAACUAGCUCUUCCUCUGUUGGGUAGAAGCGAAACCCUGUUGGAAGUUCCUCCAUCCUUGUUCUUAUUGUUGUUGCCAUUGUGUUUCGUUAUGGUCUAAAUAUAUCCGCCAUGAACUAUAUAUUUAUAUAUAGGGAGAGAUGGGAGAUGCCGAGUGAAAUGAGAAAAAAAUGGCAGUGGCUUGUGAUUGGAGGAAACUUCCACGCGGUUGUAAAAAGAAGAUACUGGUUUUUGUCCUAUGAUACUUCUCCACUGGUCCAAAUACAAUUCUUCAUCCAAUGAAAGCUCAUCUUGAAAGAGUCAGCCACCCUUUUCUCCAGUGUGGUACUUGUCCGGGACUUAGUAGCUGCACCCUUUUGGAUCAGAUGAUUUCAACCAUAAAUUGUUUUAUGGGUAAGUGUUUUAAUGUUAUAUUAUUUAUUAAUAGACAAUUCAUUAUCGAACCCUUUUAGAGACGAUGGGCUGACUGUGGGGUUUGUACGUGCCAGGCGGACAAGGCUUUUUUAUUUGUGGCUGUGAUGUUUUAUCAAGGGCUGCCAAUUUAGGUUGGUGGCUAUGAACAC